UUUUCCUCUACUUGAUCCGGAAACAAAAUAUUUCAUUGAACUAGUCUGAGGUAUGUUUCACGAGGCCAGAAUGUUUUAUGUCAUAUCUGUGAUUUGUUUAAUUGCUACGAAGUAAAAAAGCUGUGCAGAAGUAUUUUUCUGUUUCUGGUUUCUUCCGUUUGUGUAUAUCUCAUACUAAAUAGUUUUAGAUCUUCAAGUGAAAUACAACAUAAAACCAAGGCAACCUGAAUAAACACACAAUACAGUUAUUUAUUAUUAUUUUGUACGCAAAAAAGGUUUUCCAACUCUUAUCACCCAUGUGGAAAACUAACUGCUUCCUUAAACAUAAAAUCUGGUUGUGCCACCUUUUAGCAGCAAUAACUGCAACCGAACGCUUCCGAUAACUGAGAUCAGUCUUUCACUUACUUCUAGGAUUAGGACUUACUCCUGUGCUUUGAUCAUUGUCUUGCUGUACAAUCCAGUUGCACUUGAGUUUCAACUCUAGACGGGACAUUCUGCCUUUAGGAUUUUCUGGUAGAGAGUGGAAUUCGUUUCCCUCAAUUACUGCAAGUUGCCCAGACCCUGAAGCAGCAAAGCAUCCCCACACCAUCACACUACCACACUUGAAAUAGCUAGGUAACCCUUCCCAGACUGAUGUACUUCAAUCACCUUCUUCCUCAUCAUUUCUGGAAUUUCUUUCGAUUUUGCCAUAGUGUGUUACUGGGUAAGACCUUUUACCCAAAUUCACGCUGUAGAAAAAGUUCUAUUUAAGUGUUGAUGUGAUUGAACAGGGUUUGCAGUAAUCAGGCCUGGUUGUGUCAAGUCCAGCUGAACCUCAUUAUCAAUGCAGUUUCAUAGAUUUGGGGAAUUAGUAACAACGGGGGAAAAUACAUUUUCACACAGGCCCAGUUGGUAUUGGAUAACUCAUUUUGCUUCAAUAAAUAACAUUAUCAUUUAAAAACAUUAUCACGGUUUUAUCUUAGACUUAGAAAAAAUGAGUAUGAGAUUUACACAAAAACACAAGAGAUCAGGAUGGGGCCAAUACUUUUUUAUUCAUGUUAUUUAUUUUACAGCUCUGUAAAUGUACGUACUUGAAUAAGUUCUACCCACAGAUCAGAGGGACUGUGAGGGCUGGUCUAAAAGCUUCAGCUUGCAUUUCUUGUAGUAGUUUAUGGUGGAUUUUAAGGUACGUUUUGGAUCGUUGUUCUGUUUGCUACCAGAUUUUGCUGAUAUUGACUGGAAUCCAUUCUUCCAGCUACCUGUGCAGUGCAUAAUAGCAUAAAUAGAUCAAGCCAGAGCCACAAUCGAUCCACCCCAGUGCUUAACAGUUGGCAAGCUGUUCUUUUCAUUUUUCAUCAGAUGCAAUUCUUUGUAUUGUGAUUGUGGCCAAAGAGUUCAGUUUCUACUUCAUCAGUCUGCAGCAUGUCUCCACAAUGCCUCUGACUUAUCUAGACGUUGUUUUGCGUACGUCGGGCUUUCACUUUUGUGAUGAGGCCACAAGGAAGAUUUCUUCUGAUGACUCUUCCAUGCAGAUCAUGUUUGUGAAAGCAACGCUGCAGAGAAGAACAGUGCACCACCGCUCCUGAGUCAGCUUUCUGCAGGUCCUUGGUGUUAUUUAGUGCCUUUCUUCCCAACAUAAGGGCGGUCCUAUCUAAACGCUCUCUUGUUUUUAAAGAUCUUGCCUUGACUUCCCCUUAACUGCCAUUUUUGAUACCAUGACUGUACACGCUUAUGUAAAGCACCUUGAGAGGCCUUUUUAAAGGCACUAUAUAAAAUAAAGUUUUAUUAUUAUUUUUAUUGCUUUUGGACAUUUCAGUGGAAAUUUGAGCUGAAAAUGCUUUGGUAUCUUUUUAUGUAUGCAUCAAUUAGGUUCAUUUUCAGAUUUCUCAGUCAGCUGAUUAGAGCAUCCUCAUGGUUGUUGAGUGUUAGCACAAGAGUCAGAGAAUUCAUUACACACUGGAUCUGUAUUCUUAACCACGAUUCAUGAGAUCAUGAGAAGUUCUGAGAUUUUUACAGCUAGCUUGUGCAGGAGUCGCGUUUCAUUCUUUCACGUUCACAAGUUCAACAAAAUAUGUGACUUGGCCAGGGAUGUCCAAACCUUUUCAUACAGCUGUAUUCCUACAGUAUGUUGUCUCGUCGUCGUGUAUUAUAUUAUAGGAGAAGGACUAGAAACUACAUUUCCCAUCAGCCACUGCACCGUGUCACAUUCUGCACGAGUUGUCUUGCGUUGCUUGUUCUGUCUCCACGUAUGACGUUAUGCCCGUCUUUGUCCCAUGUAAGUCUUGUGUUGUGUUUUGCUGGAUACUUUAUUAAACAUUUCACUUACAGUCUGCAUUUGCAUCCGCCUCGAAUCCCUGACACUCAUGAACAUUACAGGAGGAAUAAAGUUUUAAAUGCAAAAUUCAGUAUUGUGUUAUUCGGUAUUGUAGUACCAUCAAAAAAUAAAUAAAUAAAAAUAACAACCCAUAAACAGCCAUAAUUAAAGUGCACAGUGAUCGCUGUGGCGUAUUUUUUUUGUCUUGAAAGCACUUUACGUCUUUGAUCCACUCGUCCAGACUAGUCCUUGCCUAUGAAAAUGUGUAGUGUGUGUGUUGUCACUGUACAUAGUGCUGUAAAUGUAGGAAAAAUCAGCCAUUUUACUAAGGAGCCUUAACACAGGCCGAGCUCACAUUUGAGCAGAUGACUAAAACACACAGCCUCCACACGGGCCGUGACCCAGGCUAAAGGCAAUAAGUAUAAGAUCUUUCUGUAGAGGUGGUGUGUGUGUGUGUGUGUGUGUGUGUGUGUGUGUGUGUGUGUGUGUGUGUGUGUACGUACACUCUGCUCUCUGCAGGCUUCAGUUCCAGGGUGGACUUUUUUUUUUUCUUCCCACUGAGAUGGAAAUCUUUACCUGCCAUUCAUUUACACAGCAAUAGUAUUAUUGCUUAUAGUACCAAUUGUAAUAAUGAUGCGAUGCUGCUGGGUGUGUGUGUGUGUGUGUGUGUGUGUGUGUGUGUAUAAAAAAUGGGUAUUAAUUAGCUUUGAUAUCGUGUACUUGCUCUUGCGCUGACACCUUAAUGCUGUGUAGAAAGCAUCACGUGUGUGUGUGUGUGUGUGUGUGUGUGUGUGUGUGUGUGUGUGUGUGUGUGUGAGAGAGAUAUUACUGUAUCAUAUGAGUGUAACAAUAACACUGAUUGAGGAUAAGUGCUUCUCUUUAUGGCUCCUUCAUUGGGAGAAUUGUUUUUGUAAAUGAUAUUUAACCACAUUCGAAUGGUUCAAAGCCAUAGAGCUUGUGUGUGUGUGUGUGUGUGUGUGUGUGUGUGUGUGUGUGUGUGUGUGUGUUGUCUGCUAAAGGCAGUGCUCAGAGAUGGUUCAUCUUUGUUGUUGUAUAGCAGUGAGUGUACAGGCUUUUCCUGCUUUACACAGCCGUUUCUAAUAAAGGCUGCGCGUGUUUUAUUUUUACUCAGUGAUUGUAUUGACUAGUCCGAUGUCCUCGCCCACACUCCGGAAGCCAUUCUCUUUGUGUGUGUGUGUGUGUGUGUGUGUGUGUGUGUGUGUAUUGAGUACUGCUAAAAUGUGCUGAAGAUGAUUACACCUGAGGAAGAUUGGACAUGAGGAUGAUUGGAUAUGAGAAUGACUGGAUAUGAGGAUGACAGGACAUGAGGACGAUUGGACAUGAAGAUGAUUACACCUGAGGAUGAUUGGACAUGAAGAUGACUGGACAUGAAGAUAAUUACAUCUGAGGAUGACUGGACAUGAGGAUGAUUGGACAUGGAGAUAAUUACAUCUGAGGAUGAUUGGACAUGAGGAUGAUUACACCUGAGGAUGACUGCACAUGCAGAUGAUUGGACAUGAGGAUGACUGGACAGCGCAGAAGAGAGGAUUGUGGAUCAGUUGUUAAGAAGAUUGUCUUAAGAUCAUUUUUUCUUGUCUCCAUGUACAGUACCGGUAGCAUACAGAAUAACAUCACAUUUACACUCGAUUAUUAACGUGAAGGUUCCCGUAACUAACAGCGUUAAUUAACAAUAACGCACCCUAAACAUCACUAUUAAACCGCUUCAUUUAACAAGGUGUUAAUUGAUGCUUGUUUAAACGUCAGUGAAAUCCACAUACAUUAGCCAAUGUUUAUUCCGUCAAUGCCUAAUACAUCCGUGUACGUUAGAGAUCAAAAGCUUCAUUACUGUUGCUAAGGUGCUGGACUCUGGUCUCCAGGUGUUCACACUGAUCAUUAUGGGCUGCAUUUCACUUACCUAACUAAUAUCUAAAUGUGACUCAUACAAACGUUAAUGACCGAUAGUCAGAAGUUCAUGGUUUGUUCAUGUUAGUUAAAGUGUUAAGUAGGGAUGGGUGAUAUAGAUUGAAAACUCUAUCACGAUAUCUCAUGGUCAUGUUUUGUGGUAAUGUAUAAAUAUAAAUGACGAUGUGAAAAUAGUUACUAUCUUUUUGACGUUACUUGUUGACGCUUUCUCCUGAGCUUCUGGCCUUCCGUGUAUUUGUUUUUGCUCGAGGUGGUGGAACAUUUGAUGUGUUUCCACUCUUUGCUUUGUGGGUUUUUGAGCAAUCACAGGUGUUUGAUUCACAUCUGUUUUGAUGUAUCCGAACCCCUUCGAUAUUCCAACCGAAGCGCCUUUUCUGGGGAUUAAUUCUCCUUCCUUGUCUAGGGUCGCAACGCCGAACUUCCACCGCAAUUGUACUGGUAUAUCAUGGACCAUACGGUCAUGCACAGCCCUAGUGUUUUAAUAAGUAAUGUCAGUUAAGGGAACCUUCAUGUAAAAUGUAAUCAUCAGACUGCUAUGAAAGUUUCUCAACUUUACCCAGCUCUACUCGAUACCGAGAGAAGUACUGAAACGUUCGGAAGGGAAAUUUAUUUCGGCGGUGCUGUUGAAUUCUCAAAUCUGAUUGGUCUGGAGGUGUCGAUUGGCUGUAAUUCAAAUCACAGGUUUAUAUUCAUGUGCUCGGUCCGACACCUGCUCAUUUCUACGUAGAGUUCUAAGAUACUCCGCAAUCUAGUGAUUUAGAUGGAUUAGAAAAAUAUAUCAUCGUCGAUAUGGUGAAACUUUCCAUGAGAAAAUAUUUAUUUCACAUGUACGGAGUGAAUGCCAGUGCGCUUGUAAUAUUCAGUAAGCUUCAUGAGAAAAUGUUAACGACGGAGGUUUUGUUCAUUCCGGUUUCUUCUUAACAUGAUUAGCUGUGGGGUUUUUCGUCUUCUCUCUUAGAGAGAGAGAGAAAUGAGGGAGAGCGAGAAGGAGGGAGAGGGAGAGGGAGGGAGAGAGAAAUGAGGGAGAGCGAGAAGGAGGGAGACGGAGAGAGAGAGAAUGAGGGAGAGCGAGAAGGAGGGCGAGAGAGAGCAAGAAGUAGGAAGAGAGAGAAAUGAGGGAGAGGGAGGGCGAGAGAAAUGAGAGAGAGCGAGAAGGAGGGCGAGAGAAAUGAGAGAGCGCGAGAGGGAGAGG
ensembl:lncRNA